CAGCACCUCAAGUGGUCAGGAUGAUUAUUGGGCCUAAAGCAUCCGUAGCCGGCUCUGUAAGUUUUCGGUUAUAUCUGUACGCUCAACGUACAGGCUGCCGGGAAUACUGCAGAGCUAGGGAGUGGGAGAGGUAGACGGUACUCGGUAGGAAGGGGUAAAAUCCUUUGAUCUAUUGAUGACCACCUGUGGCGAAGGCGGUCUACCAGAACACGUCCGACGGUGAGGGAUGAAAGCUGGGGGAGCAAACCGGAUUAGAUACCCGAGUAGUCC
rnacentral:rRNA from 1 species